GUGAAUCAUCGAAUUUUUGAACGCAAAUUGCGCUUCCUAGCAUCCCGGGAAGUAUGCCUGUUUGAGGGUCAGUAUUAACAAAAAAAUCGGUUUGGUUGCAAAUUGUGACGUUUCCGGAGUUUGGGCUAUCUUAACUUUUUUGGUUAAGGGGCUUAAAAUUGACCUUUUUUGCGCAUUUUUAGACGUACAUAAAUUUUUUUUUUAUUCGUCUAUUAUUAUUUCCAAA
rnacentral:misc_RNA from 1 species